GCUGGGCAUGGUGGCUCAUGCCUGUAAUCCCAGCACCUUGGGAGGCCGAGGCGGGUGGAUCACCUGAGGUCAGGAGUUCGAGACCAGCCUGGCCAACAUGGUGAAACCCCGUCUGUA
rnacentral:SRP_RNA from 2 species